CCCGGACUUUGGCGGGUACAGCUUCGCGAUCUUGACCGUCAAGCCCCUGAGAAGCCUGGGCUGUCCAGAGCGCGCCUGACUGAAAAUGCACCUGGACUUUCCACUGCAUUCUUUGGGCCCAGACUAGGCUUAUUUGCAUUUCGCCACAUAUGGCCUUUGUGCGCCCCCCAGAGGACAAGGAGAAUGUUACGGCCAAGCAAAUUUCAACCCCAUAAAAUCCAACUGCCUCUGUGUCUGCCUCCUGGGUCCUGGGAUUACAGGCACGAACCAACGCAUGCAAUUCUGGGAAAGUAUUCCACCAUCAUUUCGAACGUCUCCCAGAGAGAAAUAACAUACAGAAGGACUGACGCAUGCUGCACAGACGGACUAGGCCCUGAACACAGUGGGAUACUACACAGCCUCAAAAAAGGCCAUUCUAGUGGUACACACCUCUCCGUACAGUGGAGGUCGAGGUGGGAGAAUCGAUUCUCAGUUACAUAGAGGAUUCAGGGCCAGACUAGGUUGCCUGGAAACUGGUAUUUAAAAAUAAAUAAAAGUUGGUUGGUUUUU